UAUUACUGUGAUUUCACAAUACCUUACAGUAUUAUUUCACAGUAAAUUACUGUACUCAAACAUUUACUGUAAAAUCACAGUAGCUCUAUCACAUUACAGCACCUUGUUGUGAAAUUUGAAUUGCACUUGAACCGCACAGCAUUGUGGGGCGAUUUCUAACGUUCACCCCUCCCACCCGCACCUGCCACCCUCAACUGAAUUUUCAACUCAGCCGUCCACCAGUGACUUCAAUCAUCACUUUUCUGCAUGUGUAAGCUGUACAAACUCUGCCAUCAUAUCCAAGACAUUGCAUUGUGAGGACUGUUGCCCUGGGAACACUGAGCGCAUUCUCGAAAAUUCCAAAUUUGUGCCACUUCCAUACGAAGACAGCCCAGAAUAAUUGGGCUCCAUCAACCAUCCCGGGUAAAGUCGGUCUGUCC